UAAACAUAAACAACGAGUUGCUUUUUAAAAAGUUAGAAGCUUUUUUUUUAUUUGUCUCUU
rnacentral:tRNA from 1 species